rnacentral:rRNA from 1 species
GAUGAACGCUGGCGGCGUGCUUAACACAUGCAAGUCGAACGAAGCAUUUAAAAGGAAGUUUUCGGAUGGAAUUUUAGAUGACUUAGUGGCGGACGGGUGAGUAACGCGUGGGUAACCUGCCUCAUACAGGGGGAUAACAGUUGGAAACGACUGCUAAGACCGCAUAAGCCUACGGUCUCGCAUGAGACAGAAGGAAAAGAUUUAUCGGUAUGAGAUGGACCCGCGUCUGAUUAGCUAGUUGGUGAGGUAACGGCCCACCAAGGCGACGAUCGGUAGCCGAGUUGAGAGAGUGAUAGGCCACAUUGGGACUGAGACACGGCCCAAACUCCUACGGGAGGCAGCAGUGGGGAAUAUUGCACAAUGGGGGAAACCCUGAUGCGGCGACGCCGCGUGAGUGAAGAAGUAUUUCGGUAUGUAAAGCUCUAUCAGCAGGGAAGAUAAUGACGGUACCUGACUAAGAAGCCCCGGCUAACUACGUGCCAGCCGCCGCGGUAACAC